rnacentral:rRNA from 1 species
GUGCCAGCAGCCGCGGUAAUACGAGGGAUGCAAGCGUUAUCCGGAAUUAUUGGGCGUAAAGCGUCCGCAGGUGGCUUUGUAAGUCUGUCGUUAAAGCGUGGAGCUCAACUCCAUAUCGGCGAUGGAAACUACAAGACUAGAGUUUGGUAGGGGUCACGGGAAUUCCUAGUGUAGCGGUGAAAUGCGUAGAUAUUAGGAAGAACACCAGCGGCGAAAGCGCGUGACUGGGCCAAUACUGACACUCAUGGACGAAAGCUAGGGGAGCGAAAGGGAUUAGAUACCCCUGUAGUCCUAGCCGUAAACGAUGAUAACUAGGUGUUGCUCGUAUCGACCCGAGCAGUGCCGUAGCCAACGCGUUAAGUUAUCCGCCUGGGGAGUACGCACGCAAGUGUGAAACUCAAAGGAAUUGACGGGGGCCCGCACAAGCGGUGGAGUAUGUGGUUUAAUUCGAUGCAACGCGAAGAACCUUACCAAGGCUUGACAUGUCGCGAAUUCCCUUGAAAGGGGGAAGUGCCUUCGGGAGCGCGAACACAGGUGGUGCAUGGCUGUCGUCAGCUCGUGUCGUGAGAUGUUGGGUUAAGUCCCGCAACGAGCGCAACCCUCGUUUUUAGUUGCCAUCAUUUAGUUGGGCACUCUAGAGAGACUGCCGGUGACAAACCGGAGGGAGGUGGGGAUGACGUCAAGUCAGCAUGCCCCUUACGUCUUGGGCUACACACGUACUACAAUGCUACGGACAAAGGGCUGCCAACUCGCGAGAGUGCGCUAAUCCCAUAAACCGUGGCUCAGUUCAGAUCGUAGGCUGCAACUCGCCUACGUGAAGGCGGAAUCGCUAGUAAUUGCAGGUCAGCAUACUGCGGUGAAUACGUUCCCGGGCCUUGUACACACCGCCCGUCACACCAUGGAAGUCGGCCACGCCCGAAGCCGUUACCCUAACCGUAAGGAGGGGGGCGUCUAAGGCAGGGCUAAUGACUGGGGUGAAGUCGUAACAAGGUAACC